AGGGCGACUGNNGUGGCAAUAGCUCAUGAUGUGAAUCUGCGUAAGCCGAAUUGUGGUCUCACUUGUGUUAAAGGCUGGGCCAACUCCGUUGGAACACUCCCNCANANAGGGUGAUACUCCCGUUUGCCUGGCCCAUGGAACAAGUGUUGUUGAAUCAAGUUGUUUGGGAUUGCAGCUCUAACUGGGUGGUAAAUUCCAUCGAAAGCUAAAUACUGGUGGGAUACCCAUAGGGUACAAAUACCGUGAAGAAAAAAUGCAAACAAGCGCGGAAGCUCUGUUAAAAAGUACCUGAUCUUGCUGAAACAGAUUCGAAUGAAACCAGUGCCAGCUGCGUCAUACUUCCCUGACUGCUUGCCGACGGGGCGCUGUGGCCAGUGUUGGCAGGUUUGGUUCAGGGAUGCCUAAGAGUGUGCUUACAGUUGAUGCCCAUUGCCUGCUCUACUCUCGACUGAGGUUGACCAGGUGNUUUUCUUUUUCCCCUCUUGAANCACNNANNNNNGANGUGAGGCCGAGGGACCUUCGAUGUUUUCCUACCGACCCGUCUUGAAACACGGACCAAGGA
rnacentral:rRNA from 1 species